rnacentral:rRNA from 1 species
GUGGGGAAUAUUGCACAAUGGGCGAAAGCCUGAUGCAGCAACGCCGCGUGAGGGACGACGACCUUCGGGUUGUAAACCUCUUUUAGUAGGGAAGAAGCGAAAGUGACGGUACCUGCAGAAAAAGCACCGGCUAACUACGUGCCAGCAGCCGCGGUAAUACGUAGGGUGCAAGCGUUAUCCGGAAUUAUUGGGCGUAAAGAGCUCGUAGGCGGUCUGUCGCGUCUGCUGUGAAAACUGGAGGCUCAACCUCCAGCCUGCAGUGGGUACGGGCAGACUAGAGUGCGGUAGGGGAGAUUGGAAUUCCUGGUGUAGCGGUGGAAUGCGCAGAUAUCAGGAGGAACACCGAUGGCGAAGGCAGAUCUCUGGGCCGUAACUGACGCUGAGGAGCGAAAGCGUGGGGAGCAAACAGGAUUAGAUACCCCGGUAGUCC